CCCGGAUACCGGGUGAGACUGCAAGAAACUGUUCACCAACAACUGUGCCAGGCUGAGGAAUUCAAGCAGAUUUUCAAUAGGAUGGCCUGUAUCUGAUGUCAGCUUGAGACUUCGGAUCCCAGAUGUGGAAGUUCUUAAGAAGUUCCUCAGGAUUUGGACAGCAUAAAGGAGA
rnacentral:lncRNA from 1 species